rnacentral:rRNA from 1 species
GAUGAACGCUGGCGGCGUGCUUAAUACAUGCAAGUCGAACGGAAAGGCGAUGCUCUUGCUCGGCGCUCGUGUGGCGAACGGGUGAGUAAAACGCGAGUAAACCGCCCUUGAAUUUCGGAUAAAACUUGGAAAAUGGGGAGCAUAUCGGGUAGGAGAUACUGAUGCACGUGGGGGGAUGGAAAGAGUCGGCGGUUGGGGAUGGGCUCGCGGCUUACCAGCUGGUUGGUGGGGUAGUGGCUUACCAAGGUUUUGACGGGUAGCCGGCCUGAGAGGGUGACCGGCCACAUUGGGACUGAGAUACGGCCCAGACUCCUACGGGAGGCAGCAGUGGGGAAUAUUGCACAAUGGGCGGAAGCCUGAUGCAGCAACGCCGCGUGCGGGAUGACGGCCUUCGGGUUGUAAACCGCUUUCGCCUGUGACGAAGCGUGAGUGACGGUAAUGUGUAAAGAAGCACCGGCUAACUACGUG